rnacentral:rRNA from 1 species
UACGUAGGGGGCGAGCGUUGUCCGGAAUUAUUGGGCGUAAAGAGCUUGUAGGCGGUCUGUCGCGUCUGCUGUGAAAAUCCGGGGCUCAACCCCGGACUUGCAGUGGGUACCGGCAGACUAGAGUGUGGUAGGGGAGACUGGAAUUCCUGGUGUAGCGGUGAAAUGCGCAGAUAUCAGGAGGAACACCGAUGGCGAAGGCAGGUCUCUGGGCCACUACUGACGCUGAGAAGCGAAAGCAUGGGGAGCGAACAGG